CCCAGACUCCUACGGGAGGCAGCAGUGGGGGAUAUUGCACAAUGGGGGGAACCCUGAUGCAGCGACGCCGCGUGGGUGAAGGAGCGUUUCGGCGCGUAAAGCCCUAUCGGCAGGGAAGAAGGAGGACGGUACCUGACUAAGAAGCCCCGGCUAACUACGUGCCAGCAGCCGCGGUAAUACGUAGGGGGCAAGCGUUAUCCGGAUUUACUGGGUGUAAAGGGAGCGUAGACGGCGGCGCAAGCCAGAUGUGAAAGCCCGGGGCUCAACCCCGGGACUGCAUUUGGAACUGUGCCGCUAGAGUGUCGGAGAGGCAGGCGGAAUUCCUAGUGUAGCGGUGAAAUGCGUAGAUAUUAGGAGGAACACCAGUGGCGAAGGCGUCUUACUGGACCGAAACUGACGUUGAGGCUCGAAAGCGUGGGGAGCAAACAGGAUUAGAUACCCCAGUAUA
rnacentral:rRNA from 1 species